rnacentral:lncRNA from 1 species
CAAAACAGCCAAAGCAAUCCUAGAUGAUAGAUGAUACUGGCAUAAGAUCAGACAGAUGCACCAAUGGGGUAGAAAAGAGGUCAAACAAGAAAGCUGUGCCCACUUAUUUAUUUACAAGGAAUAAAAAACAUACACUAGAUAAAAGCCUAUUCAACAAAUGGUUCUGGCAAAAUUUGAUACCUACUUGCAGAAGAAUGAAAUUAGAUUCGUAUUUUUCACCUCAUACAAAAAUCAAUUUAAAUUGGAUUAAAUAUCUUAAUGUAAAGCCGGAAACACUGAAACUUCUAGAAGAAAACACAGAUAGAGGGGAAUAUAGAACCCUUUUAAUGGAGGACCAACAGCACGGGAACUAGCAUCGGCAGAUGGGUUUACAUGAAAAUCAAGUUUCUGCUCAGCGAAGGAAAUGGUCAGCACAGCACAGACAGCCCACAGCACGGGAUAUCAUCUGCACCAGCUACGCCUCAGACAGACUACAAAGAACUGCAGAAAUUAAAUACCAAGGAAAUAAAACUGACAAUAAAUAGGUAAGUGAAUUGAAUAGACAACUUUUCAAAAAAAGAAA